rnacentral:rRNA from 1 species
CGGCGAGUGAAGCGGCAACAGCUCAAAUUUGAAAGCUGGCUCCUUUGGAGUCCGCGUUGUAAUUUGUAGAGGAUGAUUCGGCAAGGGCUCCCGCCUAAGUCUCCUGGAACGGAGCGUCAUAGAGGGUGAGAAUCCCGUAUGCGGUGGGCUGCCUAAGCCAUGUGAAUCUCCUUCGACGAGUCGAGUUGUUUGGGAAUGCAGCUCUAAAUGGGAGGUAAAUUUCUUCUAAAGCUAAAUACCGGCCAGAGACCGAUAGCGCACAAGUAGAGUGAUCGAAAGAUGAAAAGCACUUUGGAAAGAGAGUUAAAAAGUACGUGAAAUUGUUGAAAGGGAAGCGCUUGCAGCCAGACUUGUCCGCAGUUGCUCAGCCGGUCUCCUGACCGGUGUACUCUUCUGCGGCCAGGCCAGCAUCAGUUCGGGCGGUCGGAUAAAGACCUCGGGAAUGUAGCUCCUCUCGGGGAGUGUUAUAGCCCGGGGUGGAAUGCGGCCAGCCUGGACUGAGGAUCUCGCUUCGGCUAGGAUGCUGGCGUAAUGGCUGUAAGCGGCCCGUCUUGAAACACGGACCAAGGAGUCUAACAUCUAUGCGAGUGUUUGGGUGUCAAACCCAUGCGCGUAAUGAAAGUGAACGGAGGUGGGAACCCUCACGGGUGCACCAUCGACCGAUCCUGAUGUCUUCGGAUGGAUUUGAGUAAGAGCAUAGCUGUUGGGACCCGAAAGAUGGUGAACUAUGCCUGAAUAGGGUGAAGCCAGAGGAAACUCUGGUGGAGGCUCGCAGCGGUUCUGACGUGCAAAUCGAUCGUCAAAUUUGGGUAUAGGGGCGAAAGACUAA